UACGAAGGGGGCUAGCGUUGCUCAGAAUUACUGGGCGUAAAGCGCACGUAGGCGGCUUUCUAAGUCGGGGGUGAAAUCCUGGAGCUCAACUCCAGAACUGCCUUCGAUACUGGAGAGCUCGAGUCCGGGAGAGGUGAGUGGAACUGCGAGUGUAGAGGUGAAAUUCGUAGAUAUUCGCAAGAACACCAGUGGCGAAGGCGGCUCACUGGCCCGGUACUGACGCUGAGGUGCGAAAGCGUGGGGAGCAAACAGG
rnacentral:rRNA from 1 species